rnacentral:rRNA from 1 species
AUUGAACGCUGGCGGCAGGCCUAAAACAUGCAAGUCGAGCGGAGGAAGGGGGCUUGCUCCUGGAUUCAGCGGCGGACGGGUGAGUAAUGCCUAGGAAUCUGCCUGGUGGUGGGGGAUAACGUCCGGAAACGGGCGCUAAUACCGCAUCCGUCCUGAGGGAGAAAGUGGGGGAUCUUCGGACCUCACGCUAUCAGAUGAGCCUAGGUCGGAUUAGCUAGUUGGUGGGGUAAAGGCCUACCAAGGCGACGAUCCGUAACUGGUCUGAGAGGAUGAUCAGUCACACUGGAACUGAGACACGGUCCAGACUCCUACGGGAGGCAGCAGUGGGGAAUAUUGGACAAUGGGCGAAAGCCUGAUCCAGCCAUGCCGCGUGUGUGAAGAAGGUCUUCGGAUUGUAAAGCACUUUAAGUUGGGAGGAAGGGCAGUAAGUUAAUACCUUGCUGUUUUGACGUUACCAACAGAAUAAGCACCGGCUAACUUCGUG